rnacentral:rRNA from 1 species
GCCUGCUGGACUGAAUGUACCCAAUCUGAUCUGAUUGUGGAAACUAAGCCGGCGUGGGCUGGUACUUGCCUGGAGACCACUUGAGAAUCUGGAGGGCU